UACGUAGGGCGCAAGCGUUGUCCGGAAUUAUUGGGCGUAAAGAGCUCGUAGGCGGUUUGUCGCGUCUGCUGUGAAAACCUAAGGCUCAACCUUGGGCUUGCAGUGGGUACGGGCAGACUAGAGUGCGGUAGGGGUGACUGGAAUUCCUGGUGUAGCGGUGGAAUGCGCAGAUAUCAGGAGGAACACCAAUGGCGAAGGCAGCUCUCUGGGACGGUACUGGACGCUGAGACGCGAAAGCGUGGGGAGCGAACAGG
rnacentral:rRNA from 1 species